GGCAGAUCCAGCCAAAGCCUUUCAUACUUCAAUGGAGGGGAAGGCUAAUCAAUGCGGUAGCAAACAACCCGGAGCCGUACAACACCAGCUGCUUUCAGUACCGAGACAGGAAUAAAAAGGACCGAGCUUGGAGGAAGAUAUGUGAAGAGAUCGGGCAACCUGAACCAACUGAUUCUGCAGCAGAGCAUCCCCAGUCCCUGAGCUCCUGCUGCUGCACCCACAGGCCCACAGAGGAGGACGGCUCCGAGGCAGAUGAGGGACGGGUCCCAGGACGGUCCAUCGGCGGUGGAGCUGGCCAUCGUGGAGUCCCUGAAGAGGCCACACCAGUCUCCAAUGGAGCAUUUCCUCCUCAGCCUUGUUCCUGCUCUGGAGAGCAGCUGGUCCUUUUUAUUCCUGU
ensembl:lncRNA